UACGGGGGGGGCAAGCGUUGUUCGGAAUUACUGGGCGUAAAGGGCUCGUAGGUGGCCAACUAAGUCAGACGUGAAAUCCCUCAGCUUAACUGGGGAACUGCGUCUGAUACUGGAUGGCUUGAGAUUGGGAGAGGGGUGCGGAAUUCCAGGUGUAGCGGUGAAAUGCGUAGAUAUCUGGAGGAACACCGGUGGCGAAGGCGGCAUCCUGGACCAACACUGACACUGAGGAGCGAAAGCCAGGGGAGCAAACGGG
rnacentral:rRNA from 1 species